CUGGAACCAACCGCCACCGAGCCUCCCUUGCAUCCUCUCCGGUCCCUCCCGCACGCAGUCCAUGCCUCCGGUCGUAUCCUCUCCGACUCCACCUUGCAGUGCAGGGAGCAGGGCGGGGAGGCCACGACGACCAUGGCUAGGAUCCCUCGGCCACCGCUGCGCUAGGGGAUGGAUCUGUGCUCUCUCCCUCACCGCUGCCAAACUCCACCCACCGGCGGCUACUACACGCGCGAGUGUCGGGGGAGGCUCUCUCUAGCGCAGGCUAGCAACCACGAGAGGGAGGUACUCUGCUUCUCCACCGACGAACGAGCAGACGACUCCCCAGGCAGUUUGGUGGCCUCCGUUGUGCAGUAGGACUAGGCAUGCCAUGUUGUUCGGCAGUGCUCUUCUGCACUUCAAUGAAUUUGUAAUUUCUGAAGAGAGAAAAAGUGCAAACGAAGCCUGCUAUUGUUUGCUAUUGAGGUUCAUUUUACUCAUUUUUGCAGGGAAAAGAUGAAGUGAUGCAGUUCUAUUGGAUGCCCCGUUACUCAAUUCCGUUGUUAUUCAAGAGUGCACUUCAUUAGUUCAUUGUAAAAACUGCAGCCGUGUAGUCCGCAACCACGGCCAUGCAGCUCAAACAAGCCUGCAAUGAAGUCCCGUCCUGUUUGCCUGGACUGUUGAAGUUUGCCUGGGUCGUCGUUGCAGUACGGUUAGGUGUUGAAAGCUAUUUUUUUGUUGAUUUUUCAGGUUUUCAGAGACUGCACUUCAUUAUAAAAAAGUGGCAUCUAGUUCCCUUUGUAAAAAGCAAUUUUUAUGGCAC
rnacentral:rRNA from 1 species